GUCGGUUGGUCAGAGACUGUCGGUCCCGGAUCCUGAACAGCCCCCCCAGCCCCCCUGGAUCGGCGGUUGGCCAACCGACACCCAAACUACCUUCCCCAAGCGACAGCCCGCGCGGUCACUCUCCAGCCGCGCGGGUU
rnacentral:sRNA from 1 species